rnacentral:lncRNA from 1 species
GACACUUAACAGGACUUCGGCAUUCCCCUGAAUACAGACUAGAUCAGAGAUUUUAUUUUUUUAAUUGAAAAGUAACUUGGGUUCUCUUUAGAAACCCUUAUUUGGUGUGCGCAUCUGGCUAUUUCACAGAGAUUUCAGUUUUGCAAAGAAGUCGGAGUUGAUUUCUUCCCUCAGACAAGCUAUUGGUUGUUGGUGGGCAACAGAAGUUGCUCAGCAUAGACAGGGGAAAAAACGGUUACGGAUGAGACUGAAAGAAAACCUCAAAGGAGAACUCUGAGAAUUCAUCUCAGGAUGAAGCUGCAAGGGCAAAGGAGAAGUACUUGUGACACAAGCAAAUGGGUCCAUUG